rnacentral:rRNA from 1 species
CAGUAGGGAGGAAGGUAGUGUAGUUAACACCUGCAUUAUUUGACGUUUACCUACAGAAGAAGCACCGGCUAACUCCGUGCCAGCAGCCGCGGUAAUACGGAGGGUGCGAGCGUUAAUCGGAAUUACUGGGCGUAAAGCGCAUGCAGGCGGCCUGUUAAGUCAGAUGUGAAAGACCCGGGGCGUUAAACCUCGGAAUUGCAUUUGAAACUGGCAGGCUAGAGUCUUGUAGAGGGGGGUAGGAAUUUCAGGUGUAGCGGUGAAAUAGCGUAGAGAUCUGAAGGAAUACCAGUGGCGAAGGCGGCCCCCUGGACAAAGACUGACGCUCAGAUGCGAAAGCGUGGGGAGCAAACAGGAUUAGAUACCCUGGUAG